GGGAAAGAGGUGGCAUCGGCGGUUCAAGACUGAGUUUUCUAUCUCUUCAGUGCCUCUUUCAACAAUGAAGAUCAAACCAGGUUUUGUGCAAAUAUCUGCUGAGUGAACUACUUAUUUGAAAAUACAUCAUUGGUUAAUAUUCCCUUUUGCUCAUUGAAAUCUCAAAGACUACAGGUGUGGUGCAAUUCCAUUAGAUGAAAGAGAUCUACACAUUCAGAAGCACAUGAUUCUUCCCCCUUCCAUGAUUCCAGUGGCCAAUAGACAAACUACAAUAAAGCCAUGCCCUGACUGGAUGUGCCUAACAUUUGUCUGGUGCUUAAAGGAGUUGGCUGCAUGCGUGGAAAUGUUGGAAAGUCACCAAAAAUAGUUCUCCAAGUCAGAAGCGGUGCAAAAGCUGCCUCAGCUCUUGGUGGAUUUUCAAUUUCUCCCAGCCAUCUCUGUUUCGCUAAAGGUUUCUGAAGACAGUGGGGGAAGCUUUUUUCUCCUCCCCAUCCUGAUCACUAGUAUGAGAAGGGGUGCUAAUGGACCAGCCUUGGCCUUGCAGAUGAAGAUGAUGAAGGAAGAAGAUGUAUAAAGAACCUCUGAAAGAGUCCCAGUUUUACAUUUCAAAGUCUUUUUCCUUCUGUUGUUUAUUGUGUUGGGUUGGAGUGGAGGAUAUUUGAUGGAGAAUUGAUUCUGAAACUUGCCAAAAUAUGGAUAAUACUUUGCUCCUUUUCCAUUGUGGGUUAUCACAAAGAAGAGUUUCACUUUUAGUCAUCUAUUUACAGAUAAUGAAGAUAUUAUACCAUUAUAUGCUCUUGAAUCUGUCUCAUUGUGACUUGGCGAAGAGGCAGUGAAUCUGCCAAAAAGAAGUAGAGCAGCUGUGAAGAUGCCAACACAAUUGAGUACUCUUUCUCUACAUAUUUCUAAAUAUGGCAAUUUAUUGGACACUUAUGAGCAUGGAAUGACAAUGGGGUCAAUUUAACCAUACGGCAAUGCUGAGACACCUUCAUUAUGACCUUUCCCUGGUAUAAGUUAUGUGAUAAUGAAUGCAUGUUUAGUCACACACUGUAGGUACAGAUGGGAAAAAAGAAAGCAUAAAAUAUAAAACAUGAUGUCCAGGUUUCAAAUAAGAAUUCUAAAAUGUUAUUUAAUUAAUGAAAUGAAAAUACUUUACUUUAGAAAAAGAAUAUUGAAUCUCUUUGAUGUAUAAAAUGUAUAUUUCAAAUUAAAAAUUCAAAAGAAACAAA
rnacentral:lncRNA from 1 species